AUACCCUUUAAUCCGAUUGGCUAUGCGCUUUGGCAGUGUGGUUAGCUGGUUGUGUGGCCACUUGAAAAAUCACAGCCACUAUCUUCACUGCCGCCGCGACAAGCUAUGACACCGAGAGAAACUAG
rnacentral:pre_miRNA from 15 species